AUUGAACGCUGGCGGCAGGCUUAACACAUGCAAGUCGAGCGGGGUGAUGGUGCUUGCACUAUCACUUAGCGGCGGACGGGUGAGUAAUGCUUAGGAAUCUGCCAUUUAGUGGGGGACAACAUUCCGAAAGGAAUGCUAAUACCGCAUACGUCCUACGGGAGAAAGCAGGGGAUCUUCGGACCUUGCCCUAAAUGAUGAGCCUAAGUCGGAUUAGCUAGUUGGUGGGGUAAAGGCCUACCAAGGCGACGAUCUGUAGCGGGUCUGAGGGGAUGCUCCGCCACACUGGGACUGAGACACGGCCCAGACUCCUACGGGAGGCAGCAGUGGGGAAUAUUGGACAAUGGGCGAAAGCCUGAUCCAGCCAUGCCGCGUGUGUGAAGAAGGCCUUUUGGUUGUAAAGCACUUUAAGCGAGGAGGAGGCUACUAGUACUAAUACUACUGGAUAGUGGACGUUACUCGCAGAAUAAGCACCGGCUAACUCUGUGCCAGCCGCCGCGGUAA
rnacentral:rRNA from 1 species